AACGAACGCUGGCGGCAGGCUUAACACAUGCAAGUCGAGCGCCCCGCAAGGGGAGCGGCAGACGGGUGAGUAACACGUGGGAACCUACCUGAAGGUACGGAACAACUCCGGGAAACUGGAGCUAAUACCGUAUGUGCCCGAAAGGGGAAAGAUUCAUCGCCUUCAGAUGGGCCCGCGUCAGAUUAGCUAGUUGGUGAGGUAACGGCUCACCAAGGCGACGAUCUGUAGCUGGUCUGAGAGGAUGAUCAGCCACACUGGGACUGAGACACGGCCCAGACUCCUACGGGAGGCAGCAGUGGGGAAUAUUGGACAAUGGGCGCAAGCCUGAUCCAGCCAUGCCGCGUGAGCGAUGGCGGCCUUAGGGUUGUAAAGCUCUUUCGACGGGGACGAUAAUGACGGUACCCGUAGAAGAAGCCCCGGCUAACUUCGUGCCAGCCGCCGCGGUAAAAC
rnacentral:rRNA from 1 species